AGAGUUUGAUCCUGGCUCAGGACGAACGCUGGCGGCGCGCCUAACACAUGCAAGUCGAACGAGCGAGAGGAGGUUUACUUUCUCAAGCGAGUGGCGAACGGGUGAGUAACGCGUGAGGAACCUGCCUCAAAGAGGGGGACAACAGUUGGAAACGACUGCUAAUACCGCAUAAGCCCACGACCCGGCAUCGGGUAGAGGGAAAAGGAGCAAUCCGCUUUGAGAUGGCCUCGCGUCCGAUUAGCUAGUUGGUGAGGUAAUGGCCCACCAAGGCGACGAUCGGUAGCCGGACUGAGAGGUUGAACGGCCACAUUGGGACUGAGACACGGCCCAGACUCCUACGGGAGGCAGCAGUGGGGAAUAUUGCACAAUGGGGGAAACCCUGAUGCAGCGACGCCGCGUGGAGGAAGAAGGUCUUCGGAUUGUAAACUCCUGUUGUUGAGGAAGAUAAUGACGGUACUCAACAAGGAAGUGACGGCUAACUACGUGCCAGCAGCCGCGGUAAAACGUAGGUCACAAGCGUUGUCCGGAAUUACUGGGUGUAAAGGGAGCGCAGGCGGGAAGACAAGUUGGAAGUGAAAUCCAUGGGCUCAACCCAUGAACUGCUUUCAAAACUGUUUUUCUUGAGUAGUGCAGAGGUAGGCGGAAUUCCCGGUGUAGCGGUGGAAUGCGUAGAUAUCGGGAGGAACACCAGUGGCGAAGGCGGCCUACUGGGCACCAACUGACGCUGAGGCUCGAAAGUGUGGGUAGCAAACAGGAUUAGAUACCCUGGUAGUCCACACUGUAAACGAUGAUUUACUAGGUGUUGGGGGAUUUGACCCCCUUCAGUGCCGCAGGUAAACACAAUAAAGUAAUCCACCCUGGGGAGUACGCCCGCAGGGUUGAAACUUCAAAGGAAUUGACGGGGGGCCCGCACCAAGCAGUGGGAGUAAUGUGGUUUUAAUUUCGACGCAAACGCGGAAGAACCUUUACCAAGUCUGGCCAUCCUGCGACGCACAUAGAAAUAUGUGUUUCCUUCGGGACGCAGAGACAGGUGGUGCAUGGUUGUCGUCAGCUCGUGUCGUGAGAUGUUGGGUUAAGUCCCGCAACGAGCGCAACCCUUAUGGUCAGUUACUACGCAAGAGGACUCUGGCCAGACUGCCGUUGACAAAACGGAGGAAGGUGGGGAUGACGUCAAAUCAUCAUGCCCUUUAUGACUUGGGCUACACACGUACUACAAUGGCGUUAAACAAAGAGAAGCAAGACCGCGAGGUGGAGCAAAACUCAGAAACAACGUCCCAGUUCGGACUGCAGGCUGCAACUCGCCUGCACGAAGUCGGAAUUGCUAGUAAUCGCAGAUCAGCAUGCUACGGUGAAUACGUUCCCGGGCCUUGUACUCACCGCCCGUCA
rnacentral:rRNA from 1 species